GGAAACCACAAAAGCAAAUCAUUUUCCACCAAGAGACAUUAAAAUCACAAGACAAUUUUAAGAAAUCGUCAACUAUCGUAUAUUGAUCUCUGAUCUAGUUCCCCAGAAAUGGAAGACUUACCCAAGAAAGUAAAUUAGCCAUGUGUUUAAACUUCAGACAGGAGCGCUAAGAGAAGCAGCGGUAGGAGACACACAACCUGUCUGUCACUCUUCUUUGAGAGACAGCUUGACAACCAAUGCCCUAACAUUCCUGAGAUUACUUUUACAGCAAUAACCCAAAGUUGUAACUUGAAGGAAAACAAGAGAAUAUAAAUCACAAAGAUAUGAAAAUGGUUUAUGACCAUCACAUCAAUUUACCAGCUAACUUUACAAGAAGCCUGCAUUCUUUUGGUCUUUUUUUUUUUUUUGGUUUUUCGAGACAGGGUUUCUCCGUGUAGUUUUGGUGCCUGUCCUGGAACUCUCUCUGUAGACCAGGCUGGCCUCGAACUCACAGAGAUCCGCCUGCCUCUGCCUCCCGAGUGCUGGGAUUAAAGGUGUGUGCCACCGCCCAGCUUGCCUGCAUUCUUUUUGAAAGAAAUUUCCUUUUAUGUUUCAAAGCUUUGUUAGGAUUUAUUAUACAGGUAAAAUACCUUAGCAUUUAAACACAAAGAAAAAGCAAAUCAACAAAAAUUAAAAAUGCUUUUCAAAAACAUUGGGGGAAAAUAGAGGUUAAAAACAAACAAUGCACUAUGAACAAGGCGAAAUACAAAUCUAACAGGUUUAUUUAAAAGCAUAUGUUUUAAAAGUAGAAGCAAACAGAUAAAAAGGUGUAACAGCUUGGCUUCUAAAGGGCUGAAUGAAAGAAGCCAGAUAUAUAAUAUAUAUAUAUACAUAUAUAUAUAUAUAUAUAAAAUAUAUCUGUAUUCUUAUUCAUGGUAGAGUUCGAAUGAAAGGCUAAAAUACAGGAAGGAAUAAUGUAAGAACGUCUUAGGAAUACGAAUGCUGUGAAAGGCAAGAAGCAGAAUUAUAUGAUGGAGUAAACCUACCCAGCGACCAAAUCCCACUUCCAAUGUCAGCUCCGCCACCUACUGUCUUUGAGAUUUACUGAUGAUUCAGUUCAUCUAAAAACUUCAGCCUUCAACUUAAAGAAUCUAGCACAAGCUAUAUUGCCAAUAAUGGCUUGCUAUAAUUAUUACAACAUAGUGUUUCAUAGCCUAAUGACUAUCAAAGAUACCAGUAGCCAUUUCUUCAUAACUUAGAAGUAAAUUUAACUACUACCGGUAUUCCCAAUGGGCAUUUGAAAUACAUAUUUUAAGCUCUAGGCAUGUUUCUCUAACUAUAGUCUUGUCCAAUGGGAAAUAUCAAGUAAAAAGCACUUUGAAAAUAUGACAGAUAGGAAUUUAAAAUUCAGUCCUUUAUGUCAAGAGGUUGAUGAUAAGAAUACCAUACUUUCCAGGGGCUUCAUCAGUCAGAAAGAGGAAAUAGGUUUAAAAAAAAAAAAAAAAAGGAAAGCAGCAAACAGUUAAAUAAAAUGUGAGCCAUUUCUGAUCGUGUGGCUCAUCGUGGUCUAGGAAUGUUUUAUAUGACCUCACUUGAUGGGACCAGAUUUUCAGGAAUUAAAGUUAUUUUCAGUAUUCUGUCACCCCAUCCUCGAUGAAGUCUCAAUCUUAAAUUGCCAAUAGGGGUCCAGGAGGAGACGUUCCACGCCAACUUUCCCCAAGGCCGGGACUGACAAGUUCCUCUCACUCUUAGUUUUCUGGCAGUGCCCGCAACUCCAAGGCUCCGACUACUCGUCUUCCCGGGCUCAACACUCGUCUCCUCGCAAGAGUUCGUCCCCAAAGCCCCGUCCGCAGAGUCUCACCACCCCUCAGCUGGAAGGCCAAUCAUUCCCAUUCACCUUCCCAAUAUAAAGAUCUGCCUGUGGUGGGGACGGCUCAUUGGCAGUGUCACCUAAGAGAAGACUUUCUUCCUGGAGCCCUUUUGUGGAUCAGAGGCUCCAACUGACUGUUUCUGUUCUCCAGGCUUCCGCAGUUGCUUUCUGCUGGAUGACGGCUCAUUUCUAAAACUCGAUUCCCCACUGUUCUGGUUGGAGAAUAUCCAUUCUUCUGUCUACGUGUGGAUUGACAAACAAAUGGGUCCUUCCUCUGCCCCCUCCAUGUGGCUGCUGAACCCAUUUGAUCCUAACCCAAAAGCCUGUUUGACGCUGAGCUCUUCCAGAAACACUAUGAUCAUCACAAGUGACAGUGUGUACAGAUGCUGGAGCCAUGGGAAAUCCUUGGAAUUCUAACAGGUGGUGAUGCUCAGGCUGAACCCUGAACCCUGGGCCUUCUACAUGGUAGGCCACUGCUUUACCACUGAGCUACACCCCCAGCUCUAGCUCUAGCAGCCUAACCCUCCCUCACACCUCCUUCACUUUGGCUCAACCUCAAUAACAAUCCUAGAAUAUGAACAAUGUUA